AUCUAGCUGACGAGUCCCAAAUAGAAUGAAACGCUCGCCUUACUGGAU
rfam:Schistosoma haematobium scaffold1327_5, whole genome shotgun sequence.